rnacentral:rRNA from 1 species
UACGGGGGGGGCAAGCGUUGUUCGGAAUUACUGGGCGUAAAGGGCUCGUAGGCGGCCAACUAAGUCGGACGUGAAAUCCCCAGGCUCAACCUGGGAACUGCGUCCGAUACUGGAUGGCUUGAAUCCGGGAGAGGGAUGCAGAAUUCCAGGUGUAGCGGUGAAAUGCGUAGAUAUCUGGAGGAAUACCGGUGGCGAAGGCGGCAUCCUGGACCGGCAUUGACGCUGAGGAGCGAAAGCCAGGGGAGCGAACAGG